rnacentral:pre_miRNA from 1 species
UGGAAGACUAGUGAUUUUGUUGUUCUGAAUAUGAGAAACAAAGAAUCUCUAUCUUCCGAU